rnacentral:misc_RNA from 1 species
AAAGUCGUAACAAGGUCUCCGUUGGUGAACCAGCGGAGGGAUCAUUACCGAGUUGCAAGACUCCCAAACCCACUGUGAACCGCUACACACCUCUGUUGCCUCGGCGGGACCGCCCCGGAUCGCCCCGGACCAGGCCCCCGCCGGGAAACCCAGAAACCCCUUCUCCGUACGUGAUCAGCACCUGGCGCCGAGAGCGCAUGAACAAAAUCAAUCAUCAAAACUUUCAACGACGGAUCUCUUGGCUCUG